UGGAGGAGCUGAGACGUUCAUUUCACGACGAAGCCCACCAAAACAAGUCCUAACGAUUUUUUGCUAGAUUAAUGAAGAGGGGGAUUGGUCGUAUGACCUGUAUGUGACUGUGUUCAUGACAUGAUAUGACACACCAAAGCUCUAAAUACGUGGAUCAUAUUGCUCGAAGAAGGCACCGCAGAUGAGCAGAGAAGAUGCAUGUCUUGACAAGUAGAAUAACAGUGAUCCACAGCGUCCUUCUCCUUCCCUCUCUCUACCCUUCGCCCGUCUCUUUCUAUCCUUUGAGAUCCCAAGCCAUGGUUCGUAAGGUCGAAACGUGUCAGAUCUUGCGUGGGAGCUUUAUUAGGUCUCAGUAGCGGCAGCAAUCACCGUAACACCUCACUCUUCUUCUUCUUCUUCUCUCUCUCUCUCUCUCUCUCUCUCUCUCUCUCUCAUGGUGGGGAAAGGGAUGAGGUGCAUGAGGAUCGAUCGGGGACUUGCUUCGUUUCGCCUGCCCUAUGAUUCCGUUGGGUGCUGGGAAAGGAUUUGCUGUUGGUAUUGCCUCGAUACAACUAAAAAGAGUACUACUGCAGGAGACUGCGAGAUUCCUCUCGUGGGUCCAUAAAUCCACCGUCUUUCCAGGCUCGAUCCAGCCACCGGUGUCGCUCGGCCUGUGGGUUCGUUCCAACAGUACCUCCCCCCUUGCAGUGCUCCUAUCUUCUUAUUCCUGUUGCUUGCCAUCUCCUCUCCUCCGACUCACUCGCCUCAAGCUCUCUUCUCCCGUUACACUCCGUCUCCGUGGGAACAGAAGUCGGUGUUUGCAGCUGUGGCAUCAUCAAGAUUCACACCGACCGGAUGCCCCGCCGUCCUCGUCGUCGAUGAGAAUCUUGAUGAUGCUGCAUCGGCAAAUAAGCGGCUAAACAACACAUGCCACCACCAUCAAGCCAUCAUCUCCUCAGAGGUCAAGUUUCUUGCUGCCGCUUUUGUUCUUAUAGAUGGAUUUCCCGACUUCAUUUACCUUCCAUACCUUUAGUUGAUUGUUUGCAGGGUAGUAAGCAAGCCUUUAAGUCUAAGUUAUUGUCACUCAAGUAGAUAGAUCUUUAUCAGCUUUCAGAUUCCAAGAAGUGAUACCAAUCAAUUAUGCUUUCACAAGAAUACACCAACAGAUGGUUGUGAGUAUGGCCAUACGAUCAUCUUCCUAUGUGCCAAUAUUCCUUCUUCGAAAAACCAGCCAAAGAGCUGAGCUUGACGAUUAUUCGAAGCAUGGAGAAAGCGAAGAACUGCGAUAUCCGUAUCUUCCUCUUUCUUCUCUACGGUUAGGUAUUAAACAUCUGUGUUUUGAGAUGAAGAAUGGUAAGCUAUCCAAUAUUACAUAGCAAAAUGAUUAUUACAAAAGCUGUCUUAGAUGGUUUCAGUCUCUUUUGUACUUUUGUGUUGCAAUUUCCUUUCAGUAAUACUUUCUUCUAUAGUGUUCUUCUUAGACUACCAGCAAAUAUCUUCUCAACGUCACAUUCUGGUUGAGAUGGGCGAUGUUAUGUGACACGGAAGAAAGCAAAUGGAGAAUCCCCCAUUUAGAUAGAAAGAUGAAGCAUCAUUCGAAGCACACAUGUACAGGAAUCAUCUGAAGAGGCAAACACCUCGAAAGCUCCAACUCCAUGACAGUUCCAGUGACUUCCUCUUCAGCUUUGACGAAUGUACUCAAAGAGCUGCUUUUCAUCUCAAGAAAGAGAAAAAAGAGGGCACAAUUCCAUCAUCAAUCACUCAUGCAGGUGGUCCUCGCAGAAGGUACAUAUUGCUAGUUGUUUCUGAAGUGGACCUAUACAUGAUGAUGAUGCAGAGAUUUGUCUGGUAAUUUUAUUUGAUCUCCUCCUCCAUUUUAGCAGACAAAACAAUCAUGUAGCGUAUUAAAGGCUGAACACAUGUAUACCUCCCUCUUUCCACGAUCGAACAGUAUACCUCCGUAUUUGUAAUAGUUGAUAUAGCUCACAACCAAUCUCAGUGAAAUAUCAAACUAUUGGGGUUGA